CUUUUUGGGGUUAAAACGUCAUAUUUUUAACACGCCUCCUAUUUUUAGGGACUGAUGUCAUUUUUAACGCGCCUCCUAUUUUUAGGGACC
rnacentral:pre_miRNA from 1 species